rnacentral:rRNA from 1 species
CAAGGCAGUUAAAAUGCUUUGUAAUUGGAAUGAUAGAAAUUUAAACACUUUUUAAAGUAUCAAUUGGAGGGCAAGUCUGGUGCCAGCAGCCGCGGUAAUUCCAGCUCCAAUAGCGUAUAUUAAAAUUGUUGCAGUUAAAAAGCUCGUAGUUGAAUUUCUGCUAAAAAUAACCGGUCUGCUUUUAACAAAAGUGGUAUCUUGGUGUGUUUUUAGCAAUAAUGUCCUUUGAAAUGUGUUUUACUUUGUUGUAAAAGAUAAUAUUCAGGAUUUUUACUUUGAGAAAAUUAGAGUGUUUCUAGCAGGCUAAUGUUUUGAAUACUGCAGCAUGGAAUAAUAAAAUAUGAUUUUGGUUCUACAUUGUUGGUUUUAAGAGCUGAAUUAAUGAUUGAUAGGAACAGUUGGGGGCAUUUGUAUUUAACUGUCAGAGGUGAAAUUCUUAGAUUUGUUAAAGACAAACUACUGCGAAAGCAUU